rnacentral:rRNA from 1 species
GAGGUAGAUAGGUUGGAGGUGGAAGUGCAGCAAUGCAUGGAGCUGACCAAUACUAAUCGGUCGAGGGCUUAUCCUACAA